rnacentral:rRNA from 1 species
UCCGAGGAAUUUGUCUUUUAAUCGUCAUUACUCGUUUAUUUUCACUUUUUUUUCAUUUUCUAUACCGCUGUCUUAAGAUUAAACUUCGAAGUUUAAUCUUAAUCUCUUUUGAUAAGUCAGGUCAAGGUGGAGAUUAUAAAAAAGUAUAGAUUAAUUAUUAAUAAAUUAUAUUUUAAGUCGUUUUUCUAAAGAAAUUCUAAAUCAAGAUUUGAAAGUAGUUUUUUAUUAAAGAUUUAAAACGAAUUUUGCUUUAGGUGUACAUAUCGCCCGUCACCCUCGUCUAAAGAUGAGGUAAGUCGUAACAUAGUUAGUGUACUGGAAAGUGUACUAAGGGAGAUUAAAAGCUUUAGCAUUUCAUUUACACAGAAAAGAAUGAUAACAAAACUUUCCUAUUGUUUUAUAUUUAAAAUAAUAUUUAUAAUAUUUUAAUCCUAUUUUCUUUUUUAUUACCGCAGGGGUUUAUGAGUUGUUUUUUAGAAAUUUUUAUUUUUACCUUUUGUAUCAGGGUAAUUCGAGUCUUCUCUUGGAAAAGAUUCUCCCGAAAUAAAAUGAGCUACUUUAUUUAUUAUACUUUGUAGCAAAAAAAUAGUAAAAAUUUAGUAGAAGUGAAAUUCUAUCCGUGUUUUUUUAUAUCUGGUUUUUUCAAAAAGUAUUAUUACUUAAAUCUAAAAAGGGAUAAUCUUUUUUAGUUAUUUUAUUACUUUCUUUUUAAUUCUUUUAGGAUUAGUAGUGUCUUUUCGUGUAAAAACUUUAUCUUUCAUUUUAAAUACAUAAUAUUAUGAAAUUUUUAUCUUUUUAUAAAAAUAAUGGGCUAAUCAGUAAAGACCGAUUUAAAUUUAUUAAUUAAAUUUAUCAAAACAUCUCUUUAAAUUUUUAUUCAUAAACUCGGCUAAGUUUUCUGACUGUUUACCAAAAACAUUUCUGAACGCUAUUUCUUUUCAGUAAGACCUGCUCAAUGAUCUUUCAAUAGCCGCAAUUACGUGCUAAGGUAGCAUAAUCACUUGCCUUAUAAUUAAAGGCUAGAAUGAAAGGUUUAACAUGAUAACUUCUUUAUAAACAAAAGUUAUUAAAUUUUACUUAUAAGUAAAAAGGCUUAUAUUCACAAGGAGGACGACAAGACCCUGACGAGCUUUACUAAUUAGUUGCACUGGGGUGGUAGAAAACUAAAUCUUUUUAAUCUGUCCAUUUAUAUCCUUACUGUAUGAUUACAAGUUACCGCAGGGAUAACAGCAUAAUUUUUUUCUAGAGACCUUAUUUAAAAAAAAGAUUGUGACCUCGAUGUUGAAUUAAUU